GCUGCCUUGAAGUGGAAUCCUGACCAACGACCACCGUCCCCUGAGUUGCAAUGUUACGCGUUUGUUACAAAAUGGGUGGAUUACAACGGUCAAGUGGUGUACAAUGAUCAAGUGUCUUAUCAAAACAAUCUUGAUUACAGCGCAAAUUUCCCCAACUUGCCACUUAAGUAAACGAACUUAAAAUGGCCGGUUCAUUUGUGUGCAGUUAAGCAACAACUAGCUAGUGUAAAAUGAAACUCAACAUUAGUUGUCAAGGGAUUUUUUAAGCUUAUUAAGUUGGUAUGAAGUAGACCCAAAAAGCUUUAUUUACUAUUUUUCAGGUUUUGAUAGUUUUAUUGUAGCUCUUGAACUUUAAACUAGUUAUGGCAAUAUAUAACAUUUUCGUAUGACGCUUUUUAUAAAAUGCAAUUGGCAAUUUAACAAAUUCAAGUAUUUUCUGAUUAAGUUGUACAUCAGAAACCUACUCUUGCAUAAUAUAUUGGUUUAAGGCCGUGUGUAAUUUAAAUGUCUUUUGACAACGUCGCCUCAAAAUCAUAUAGAGGCGGAUUGGCAACAGUUUACAACAUUUUCUAAGACUUAGAUUUUGAUGGAUCAUUACAACCAAUCUUUAUCAGUUGAUGCCACAAAUAUUGUAUGAAAAAGCUGCCUAAUCAUUGGUAAACAAGGUGGUAUCAUUUAAGUGCCAAAAAAGGCUAAAUUUCUUAAAUUUUUCAUUUAAGGUGGCUCUGAACCCACACUACAUAUUUUUUUUAACUUUGCAAAAAGUUGUAUCUUAUCAUGCUUAUCACAAUUCGAUAAGAAAAAAUGGGGUCACCGAAAUCGUUUUUGAGUUAUGAGCACUUUAAGCUAAAAUUAAGGGUGUUUUUAACAGGUCAUACUGUUGCUAUGGUAACCCAUUAUGCCAUAAGGGUCACUGUAAUUACUUUACCAAUGGCUGGGCAUUUACGUGAUACCAAUAUUGUAAUCUCUGUCACGUGAUAAACAUAGGCAAUAUUCAUCCGUCAAAGUACAGCUGUUGGAAACGUGCUGGACACUGUUCCCAGCCUCCUUAAAUAUUAAUCGCCACAAAAAAGGUCAAAAAGGAUGGUGCCGUCAAUUUUUAAUUAUAACUUACUUAUUCUGGCAAAAAAGCAACUUUAUUCUAUUAUUUUCAAGUAAAAUUCGAUUUCCUGGUAUAUAGCUCUAAGUUUUAUAUAUCUUCUUCGUGUUUGUAUUGAUUUUGUAGUUAGAUAUUUUUAUAGUAGCCUACUAAUCAAAUAAAGUAUGUGUGAAUGUAUAUGUAAGGUCUUCUUCAGCUCUCGCUGAAACUUCACUUUGCUGGCUGUGAAGCUUCCUUUAUUUAAACCAUCCCCCAACCAUCCCAGCGCUAACUGUCCACAGAAGCAGAAAAAAAUUAUGAAAGACUAGUAGU